rnacentral:lncRNA from 1 species
GUUCUGCCCAUUCGAAAAUGAGGCACAGAGGGAGCAACUGACCAGCUUUAUGGGGAUGAGCUGGACUUGCUGGCUGAAGCUGGGCAUGAACAGGACGAUCACCUGACAGCUAAUGUUUGCUCAGACUGUCUUGGUAGGAACCUCCAAACAUGUUUCUUAUGGAAUAAAUGGAAGAGAAAUGGUGUAGUAAUCAGCUACCAAAACCCUGAUGAAGUCAUGACUCCCUAAGUCCCAAGUUCAGUGACAACCCCCAGCAGGUCGCUCUGAAAUGACUGCCAGUCUCUUCUCCUCCUUUGCCCAGUAUUACAAAGCUCGCAUGUCAGGAAUCUAGUUUGGGAGCAAUCCCCACCCAGCCUGUGCCCUCCCCCCACAGCUGUCUGGCUGAUCCCCGAUGCAUCUACCAUUUGGGAAGGAAAGCAGAUGAGAUUAACUUGUUUAAAUCUGUGCUCCGAACAGUAGGGGCAGGAAAGAAGCAAAA